UACGUAGGGUGCGAGCGUUGUCCGGAAUUACUGGGCGUAAAGAGCUACGUAGGCGGUUUGUCGCGUCGUCUGUGAAAUUCUGCAACUCAAUUGUAGGCGUGCAGGCGAUACGGGCAGACUUGAGUACUACAGGGGAGACUGGAAUUCCUGGUGUAGCGGUGAAAUGCGCAGAUAUCAGGAGGAACACCGGUGGCGAAGGCGGGUCUCUGGGUAGUAACUGACGCUGAGGAGCGAAAGCGUGGGGAGCAAACAGG
rnacentral:rRNA from 1 species